rnacentral:rRNA from 1 species
CCUACGUGAGGCAGCAGUGGGGAAUAUUGGACAAUGGGCGAAAGCCUGAUCCAGCCAUGCCGCGUGUGUGAAGAAGGCCUUCGGGUUGUAAAGCACUUUCAGUGGGGAAGAAAGCCUUGGGGCUAAUACCCACGAGGAAGGACAUCACCCACAGAAGAAGCACCGGCUAACUCCAUGCCAGCAGCCGCGGUAAUACGGAGGGUGCGAGCGUUAAUCGGAAUUACUGGGCGUAAAGCGCGCGUAGGCGGUCUGAUAAGCCGGUUGUGAAAGCCCCGGGCUCAACCUGGGAACGGCAUCCGGAACUGUCAGGCUAGAGUGCAGGAGAGGAAGGUAGAAUUCCCGGUGUAGCGGUGAAAUGCGUAGAGAUCGGGAGGAAUACCAGUGGCGAAGGCGGCCUUCUGGACUGACACUGACGCUGAGGUGCGAAAGCGUGGGUAGCAAACAGGAUUAGAUACCCCUGUAGUC